GUUGUACUCCUUCCGUUUCACAAUACAUGUCUUCCUUUUAUCAAAAUAUUGAUGUAUCUAGACAUAUUUUCGUAUAUAGAUACAUCUAUUUUUGGACAAAUAAAAGUCAAGUAUUUUGAAACAGAGAGAGAGUAUCUU
rfam:Triticum urartu cultivar G1812 contig1239490, whole genome shotgun sequence.